rnacentral:rRNA from 1 species
UGGGGAAUAUUGCACAAUGGGGGAAACCCUGAUGCAGCGACGCCGCGUGAAGGAGGAAGUAUUUCGGUAUGUAAACUUCUAUCAGCAGGGAAGAAGAUGACGGUACCUGACGAAGAAGCUCCGGCUAAAUACGUGCCAGCAGCCGCGGUAAUACGUAUGGAGCAAGCGUUAUCCGGAUUUACUGGGUGUAAAGGGAGCGCAGGCGGCAUGCCAAGCCAGAAGUGAAAAUCCGGGGCUCAACCCCGGAAGUGCUUUUGGAACUGGCAGGCUGGAGUGCAGGAGAGGCAGGCGGAAUUCCUAGUGUAGCGGUGAAAUGCGUAGAUAUUAGGAGGAACACCAGUGGCGAAGGCGGCCUGCUGGACUGUAACUGACGCUGAGGCUCGAAAGCGUGGGGAGCAAACAGG